GAAAGCGAUGCUAAUACCGAAUGACAUCUCAAUAACUCCGGUCUUUGAGAUCAAAGGUGGCCUCUCCAUGGAAGCUACUGUUUGGAGAUGAGCCCGCGUACCAUUAGCUUGUUGGUAGGGUAAUGGCCUACCAAGGCAACGAUGGUUAGCUGGUCUGAGAGGAUGAUCAGCCACACUGGAACUGACACACGGUCCAGACUCCUACGGGAGGCAGCAGUGAGGAAUUUUGCGCAAUGGGGGAAACCCUGACGCAGCAACGCCGCGUGAGUGAUGAAGGCUUUCGGGUCGUAAAGCUCUGUCAAGUGAGAAGAACCUGUCCUUUGCUAAUAUCAUAGGGCACUGACGGUAUCACUGAAGGAAGCACCGGCUAACUCCGUGCCAGCAGCCGCGGUAAUACGGAGGGUGCAAGCGUUAUUCGGAAUCACUGGGCGUAAAGAGCGCGUAGGCGGUUUCUAAAGUCAGAUGUGAAAGCCCGGGGCUCANCCCCGGAAGUGCAUUUGAAACUUAAGGGACUUGAGUAUGGG
rnacentral:rRNA from 1 species